ensembl:lncRNA
AUGACAGAGAGGGUCUGCGCCCCCUUCCCUUUGCAGAGGCACAGAGUGCGCACACAGGCUUUACCUUCCUCUGCCCAACCCCCUCUCCACUCCUGCAGACCCCCCCCCCUUCCUGCAGUUCCCCCUCCGGCCCCUCCCCGCUCCGUAGGACACGUAGACCCGGAUCCUCAGCUCCCGGACCCCUUCCUACUGCUCCCUUCGCCACUCGCGCGGCUUCCACUCCUGGUCUCGGCCUCAAAGCCUCUUCAGCUGUCGGCCCUGGAAGGUGCCCAGCGGCGGCAGCGCCAGACGCGCCCCGUUAGCUCAGCGUCGCUGAGCAGCCGCAGCCGCAGCCGCCACCAGGCCCCGCCCAGUGGCCGCCGCCAGCCAGGCCGCGCCCGGGACAACUGCAGAGCGCGGUGCUCUUACAGCCUGUUCCAGGUGUGGCUUAAUCCGUCUCCACCACCAGAUCUUUCUCCGUGGGUUCCUCUGCUAAGACCGCUGGUGAGUGGGCAGUGGGCUUGGACUCCUGGGUCUGAGGGAGGAAGGAUUGGGUUCUGGACUCCUAGAUCCUGGGAGAAAGACCAGGAAGCUUGGGCUCCAAGGAAUAGGGCCCCAGACACUGAGAUAUCUGAGGAAGAAGCAUGGCCAGGCCCUGGCUCCCUUGUCUCGGGGAGCUGCUGUGCUGGGACUGCCGGGAAGAGGUUAAGACCUGUGCUACUGCCCUGCAAUGUGCCUGAAUCUGAAAGGAGGAAGUUACUUUCCUGUGGGCUAGGAGAGGUCAACUUGGGUUUAGUGGUGUGGCUGCAAUGAGACAGUUUACACCCUGAGGAAAGAACUGGGCACCUGGUUUCUAAGAGGACUGGCACUUGAUUCCUGGGGGCCGUUAGGACAAGGAGGUGAAAGCUGUAGAUUUUGCAAGGACAAAAGAAGCAAGUUGGUUUUCUGGAGUCUGGGGCAUCUGGGAUCCUUCAGGCUCAGGGCCCAGGGCCAGAGGUCUGACCCCUUAUGACAGGACUGUGAUGGCCAGGCGCAGUGGCUCAUGCCUGUAAUCCCAUCACUUUGGGAGGCCAAGGCGGGCGGAUCACUUGAGGUCAGGAGUUUGAGACCAGCUUGGCCAACAUGGCGAAACCCCUUCUCUACUAAAAAUACAAAAAUUAGCCGGGCUUGGUGGCGGAAGCCUGUAAUCCCAGCUACUCAGGAGGCUGAGGCAGGAGAAUCGCUUGAAUCAGGAGGCGGAGGUUGCAGUGAGUCCAGAUUGCACCAUUGCACUGCAUCCUGGGUGACAGAGCGACUCCGUUUAAAAAAAAAAAAAGUAAAACAAACAAACAGGAUUGUGAGGCCUAAAGAGUUCAGUGGAAGGGCCUGGGGUUCCUACUGGACAGUUGGAAAUCUGGGGAGCUGAAUUUCCCAGAAGCUGGGGGACCAGCUGGCUGGGUUUUGGGGAGAGAAGGUGGAGGCGGAUGGACUCAGUGUGCGGGAGUGGGGAGGGGGAGGCUGAAACCAAACUUUUUGGGUUACAGUACUCCAGUCCUAAAUUCCGGGUGGGAGUUAGACUGAGAGUGAAGGUCCUAAUCUCCAAGGUUGGGGGUGGGGAGAGGAGGGGGCCACUGAGAGUUUAGGCUCCUUGCCAGAAGGGAGGGGAAAUCUCUUGGUUUUCCGCGGCUGGGAUCUCUAUGAGAAGAUAUCCUUUAUUGGGAGGUCGGAGCUCUUAUUAGAUGUGGGUCCCUGAGAAUGGAAGCCUGGGGAGGUUGGGCCGUUUAGAGGCUGGAAAUGUCGAGGUCACCGUUCGAUAGAAGAAGGAAGUCUGCUCACAGGGUCUGGGGUGCAGAGCUCUGAAUACUGAAAGAAAAGGAAGUUGAGAGAUGGGGCUUUCAGAGUUCGUGGAAGACAAGCGUUUUGUCCUGACUCUUGGGUUAUGGCAGGAGGCAGAAGGAGGACGCUUUAUUAUUAUUAUUAUUAUUUUAAUUUAUUUUUAUUAUUUUAUUUUAUUUUUUUGAGAUGGAGUUUCACUCAUGUCGCCCGGGCUGGAGUGCAGUGGUGCGAUCUCGGCUCACUGCAACCUCCGCCUCCCGGGUUCAAGUGAUUCUCCUGCCUCAGUCUCCCGAGUAACUGGGAUUGCAGGUGCAUGCCACCAUGCCCAGAUAAUUUUUGCAUUUUUGGUAGAGACUGAGUGUCACUAUGUUGGCCAGGCUGGUCUCCAACUCCUGACCUCAAGUAAUUCACCUCCCUUGGCCUCCCAAAGUGCUGGGAUUACAGGCAUGAGCAACCACACCCAGCCUAUUUGUAAUUUUAAUUUUUUUUUUUUUUUGAGACGGAGUCUCGCUGUAUCACCCAGGCUGGAGUGCAGUGGCGCAAUCUCGGCUCACUGCAAGCUCCACCUCCCGGGUUUACACCAUUCUCCCGCCUCAGCCUCCGAGUAGCGGGGACUACAGGCGCCCGCCACCUCGCCCGGCUAGUUUUUUGUAUUUUUAGUAGAGACGGGGUUUCACCAUGUUAGCCAGGAUGGUCUCGAUCUCCUGACCUCGUGAUCCGCCUGCCUCGGCCUCCCAAAGUGCUGGGAUUACAGGCUUGAGCCACCGUGCCCGGCAAUUUUUUUUUUUUUGAGUCCGGGGUCUCACUGUCCCCGGCUGCACUGCCCAGGCUGGAGUGCAGUGGUGCAUUACAGCUCACUGCAGCCUCGACCUCCCAGGCUCAAGCACUCCUCCCACCUCAGCAUCCCGAGUAGCUGGGACCACAUGUACACACCACCACACCCAGCUAAUUUUUAAUUUUUUUUUUUUUUUUUUUUGGUAAAUGAGGUCUCCUUAAGUUGCCCAGGCUGGUCUCCAACACCUGGGCUCAAGCAAUCCUCCUGCCUCAGCCUCCUGGAGUGCUGGGAUUACAGGCAUGAGCCACUCCCACGCCUGGCCAGAGGGAUGGUGCUGUAGAGUACAGAGUGCUAAAUGGCUGAGUUACUGAGUCCCUGGGGGAAGAAGGGAAAGAGGGAAGCCUGGUAUCUGGAGUGGGAAGCAAACAGUGUAGUUGUACAGUAGUUAGGUCUCGAAAGAGAGAAGAAUCUCUUGGGAAGGAGGAAAAUAGGUGCCUGGACUCCUGCGUUCUGAUACGGGUAGGGGAGGAGUGAGUCUGGAGCUGGAGGGGACAGGCUUAUCCCUGUAUGCCGAGGACAGUCCCCAUUUGAAAACCCAAGGCUGGGCGCAGUGGCUCAUGCCUGUAAUCCCAGCACUUUGGGAGGCCAAGGCCAACGGAUCACCUGUGGUCAGGAGUUCGAGACCAGCCUGGCCAACAGGGCAAAACCCUGUCUCUACUAAAAAUAAAAAUUAGCUGGGCGUGGUGGCACGCAUCUGUAAUCUCAGCUACUCGGGAGGCUGAGUCAGGAGAAUCACUUGAACCUGAGUAGCGGAGGUUGUAGUGAGCCGAGAUUGUGCCGCUGCACUCCAGCCUGGGCCACAGAGCAAGACUCUGUCUCAAAAGAAAAAAGAAGAGAAAGGGAAACAAGAAAGAAAACCCGAAGCCCCACAUCUUGGGAACUCCCUAACUAGAGCUCAUAUUCAUUUGUCCCUGCGGUAGGCAAUGGCUAAGGGACCUGGAUUCCUAUGUUUGUGACCUUGUAAGGACACUG